rnacentral:lncRNA from 1 species
UUGCAUUUUUCAGAUGUACUAGAACACACCCGUGAUAUCGCGGGUCCGUGACUGAAUUAAAGUAUAUAACUAUGCGCAAGCCUUAUUUUAGUAUUAGUAUUGUCAUCUGAUAAAGUCAUGCCGAUUAUAAGAUACAGUUUUCUCUGCUUUCAAAUAUUUCUGUUUGAACACGUCGAACUGGAACUUAUCAAUUAUUGGUAAUAUUAAUUAUUUGGAAAACAAAAGGUCCUAGAAUGGAGUAUUUUUUAAUCAACAGCAUUGUCCUAUAUUAGUUAUAGAUAAAGUUGAAUUCUUUGAUUCGCUGUUUUACGUCAUGCCCGCUAACAAAUUGAAAACUGUACCUAUAUGCCUUAUUUUUAGUCCAGAUUUUUAGUAUUCGUAUUGUUAUCUUAGAAAGUCUUACUGAUUAAAAUACUACAAUAGGUAACAAUUUGACAAUUUAGUAGUGUCAACCCUGUGAUUAUGACCCGUGUAUUUAGCAUAUUAAUCCUGAAUACACCGUUUGUUGGUGCGCCUGUCAGAUGCGGAACGUACAGAUAAGGUAAUAGGUAACAGGUGAAUAUACUAUUGGUAUCGGUAUCGGCCUCGACCCGGAACUUCUUAAUUAUUGGCAAUAUCAAUUACGUGGAAAACAAAAGGGCCUGGAAUGGUGUAAUUUUUAAUCUACACCUUUGUACUAUAUUAGUUAUAUAUAAAGUUGAAUUCUUUGAUUCGUCGUUUUUACGUGAUAACGGCUGACAAAUUGGACCUCGUAAUUUUAGUAUUAUAGAU